GGGGCUGUAGCUCAAUUGGUAGAGCGCCUGCUUUGCAAGCAGGAAGUAGUCGGUUCGAAUCCGAUCAGCUCCACCA
rnacentral:tRNA from 10 species